AUUGAACGCUGGCGGCAUGCUUUACACAUGCAAGUCGAACGGUAACAGGGUGCUUGCACCGCUGACGAGUGGCGAACGGGUGAGUAAUGCGUCGGAACGUGCCGAGUAGUGGGGGAUAACGCAGCGAAAGUUGUGCUAAUACCGCAUACGUACUGAGGUAGAAAGUGGGGGACCUUCGGGCCUCACGCUAUUCGAGCGGCCGACGUCUGAUUAGCUAGUAGGUGAGGUAAAGGCUCACCUAGGCUACGAUCAGUAGCGGGUCUGAGAGGAUGAUCCGCCACACUGGGACUGAGACACGGCCCAGUCUCCUACGGGAGGCAGCAGUGGGGAAUUUUGGACAAUGGGCGAAAGCCUGAUCCAGCCAUGCCGCGUGUCUGAAGAAGGCCUUCGGGUUGUAAAGGACUUUUGUCAGGGAGGAAAUCCCUAGUGCUAAUAACACUGGGGGAUGACAGUACCUGAAGAAUAAGCACCGGCUAACUACGUGCCAGCCGCCGCGGUAA
rnacentral:rRNA from 1 species